AUUGAACGCUGGCGGCAGGCUUAACACAUGCAAGUCGAGCGGAGAUGAGGUGCUUGCACCUUAUCUUAGCGGCGGACGGGUGAGUAAUGCUUAGGAAUCUGCCUAUUAGUGGGGGACAACAUUCCGAAAGGAAUGCUAAUACCGCAUACGUCCUACGGGAGAAAGCAGGGGAUCUUCGGACCUUGCGCUAAUAGAUGAGCCUAAGUCGGAUUAGCUAGUUGGUGGGGUAAAGGCCUACCAAGGCGACGAUCUGUAGCGGGUCUGAGAGGAUUAUCCGACACACUGGGACUGAGACACGGCCCAGAGUCCUACGGGAGGAAGCGUUGGGGAAUAUUGGAGAAUGGGGGAAGCCCUGAUCCAGCCAUGCAGCGUGUGUGAAGAAGGCCUUAUGGUUGUAAAGCACUUUAAGCGAGGAGGAGGCUACUGAGACUAAUACUCUUGGAUAGUGGACGUUACUCGCAGAAUAAGCACCGGCUAACUCUGUGCCAGCCGCCGCGGUAA
rnacentral:rRNA from 1 species